UACCGAGGUCCCAAGCGUUGUUCGGAUUCAUUGGGCGUAAAGGGUGCGUAGGUGGCGCUGUAAGUCGGGUGUGAAAUUUCGGAGCUUAACUCCGAAACUGCAUUCGAUACUGCGGUGCUCGAGGACUGGAGAGGAGACUGGAAUUCAUGGUGUAGCAGUGAAAUGCGUAGAGAUCAUGAGGAAGACCAGUGGCGAAGGCGGGUCUCUGGACAGUUCCUGACACUGAGGCACGAAGGCCAGGGGAGCAAACAGG
rnacentral:rRNA from 1 species